rnacentral:rRNA from 1 species
AUGCGGGACUCAUCAGAGGCCUCGCAAUUGGAAUGAGCGCACUUUAAAUCGUUCGACGAGGAUCUAUUGGAGGGCAAGUCUGGUGCCAGCAGCCGCGGUAAUUCCAGCUCCAAUAGCGUAUAUUAAAGUUGUUGCAGUUAAAAAGCUCGUAGUUGGAUCUGGGGUUCGGGUCGGCGGUUUGCCGCUUCGGCGGCUACUGCCGUGCUCGACUCUUACUAGCCGGUGCGUCUUGCGGUGCUCUUCAUCGAGUGCCGUAGGAGCCUGGCAUGUUUACUUUGAAAAAAAUUAGAGUGCUCAAAGCAGGCGAUUCCGCCUGAAUAGUGUUGCAUGGAAUAAUGGAAUAGGACCUCGGUUCUAUUUUGUUGGUUUUCGGAACUUGAGGUAAUGAUUAAGAGGGACGGUCGGGGGCAUUCGUAUUUCGGUGUUAGAGGUGAAAUUCUUGGAUCGCUGAAAGACGGACAAAUGCGUAAGCAUCUGCCAAGAACGUCUCCAUUAAUCAAGAACGAAAGUCAGAGGUUCGAAGACGAUCAGACACCGUCCUAGUUCUGACCAUAAACGAUGCCAACUAGCGAUCCGCAGUGGUUGCUAUAAACGGACUCUGCGAGCAGCUUCCGGGAAACCAAAGUGUUUGGGUUCCGGGGGAAGUAUGGUUGCAAAGCUGAAACUUAAAGGAAUUGACGGAAGGGCACCACCAGGAGUGGAGCCUGCGGCUUAAUUUGACCCAACACGGGGAAACUCACCCGGUCCGGACACUGUAAGGAUUGACAGAUCGAGAGCUCUUUCUUGAUUCGGUGGAUGGUGGUGCAUGGCCGUUCUUAGUUGGUGGAGUGAUUUGUCUGGUUAAUUCCGAUAACGAACGAGGCUCUAGCCUGCUAACUAGUUGCGCCGUGUUCAUACGCGGCUGUAGACUUCUUAGAGGGACAGGUGGCGUUUAGCCACACGAAAUUGAGCAAUAACAGGUCUGUGAUGCCCUUAGAUGUCCGGGGCCGCACGCGCGCUACACUGAAGGAGUCAGCGUGUGCUAUCCGGGCUCGGAAGAGUUCGGUAACCCGUUGAAACUCCUUCGUGCUAGGGAUUGUGGCUUGUAAUUAUCGCGCAUGAACGAGGAAUUCCCAGUAAGUGCAAGUCAUCAGCUUGCGCUGACUACGUCCCUGCCCUUUGUACACACCGCCCGUCGCUACUACCGAUUGAAUGGUUUAGCAAGGUACUCGGAUUGGUCUCGAUCUUGUACGAAAGUGCGGGAUCUGUGGCCGAGAAGAAGGCCAAACUUGAUCAUUUAGAGGAAGUAAA